rnacentral:rRNA from 1 species
AACGAACGCUGGCGGCAUGCCUAACACAUGCAAGUCGAACGAGACCUUCGGGUCUAGUGGCGCACGGGUGCGUAACGCGUGGGAACCUGCCCUUAGGUUCGGAAUAACUCCCCGAAAGGGGUGCUAAUACCGGAUAAUGUCUUCGGACCAAAGAUUUAUCGCCUUUGGAUGGGCCCGCGUUGGAUUAGCUAGUUGGUAGGGUAAAAGCCUACCAAGGCGACGAUCCAUAGCUGGUCUGAGAGGAUGAUCAGCCACGCUGGGACUGAGACACGGCCCAGAAUCCUACGGGAGGCAGCAGUGGGGAAUAUUGGACAAUGGGCGAAAGCCUGAUCCAGCAAUGCCGCGUGAGUGAUGAAGGCCUUAGGGUUGUAAAGCUCUUUUACCCGGGAUGAUAAUGACAGUACCGGGAGAAUAAGCUCCGGCUAACUCCGUG